rnacentral:rRNA from 1 species
CAGUAGCCACGGUAAUACAGAGGGUGCGAGCGUUAAUCGGAUUUACUGGGCGUAAAGCGUGCGCAGGCGGUUAUAUAAGACAGAUGUGAAAUCCCCGGGCUCAACCUGGGAACUGCAUUUGUGACUGUAUAGCUAGAGUACGGCAGAGGGGGAUGGAAUUCCGCGUGUAGCAGUGAAAUGCGUAGAUAUGCGGAGGAACACCGAUGGCGAAGGCAAUCCCCUGGGCCUGUACUGACGCUCAUGCACGAAAGCGUGGGGAGCAAACAGGAUUAGAGACCCCCGUAGUCCCUGUCUCUUAUAC